rnacentral:lncRNA from 1 species
GUCACUAGACAAGGAUGGCACCACUGGACAGAGGACAGCGCUGUUGAACCAAUGCUGCUGGAUUGAGGACUGCAUUGCUGGAUGUAGGCAAUGCUGCUAGGGUUUCAGCUCUAUACCAUGUGACAAAUGCAGUAGAUCAAUCUUUUAAGAGAGAGAGAGCCUCUAGUAUUGAGACUAAAGUCUCAAUAGACCUAAAUGGGCCAAUAUGGCCCAUAACUUGGAUGAGCCAAUACAGUCCGUACCUAAUAGCAUUCAUGAUAUUCAACACUUUUAACUGAACCAGGAAGAUUCGGAUGUUUCAUCUGUGGUAACUCUAUCAGCAAUAGUUGGGAAGCCUUCUUCAUAUUAUUUCUUUUCUUGACAGUAUCUGGUCCUUUUCUACAUUGGGCUUACUUUUCUUUUUUACACAGUUCGCUUAAUUUAAUUUUUCUG